GGGGCUGAUUGGUUUUGACAGCAUGACGGUGGAACUGUAAGCAUGCCGGGCGUUAGGGAAAGGCCCGUAUAAAAACUACCCUGAUGCCAAUAAAUGGCAACAAUUAUAACUACGCAAUGGCUGCUUAAUCUAUACGAUUAAGUGCUGUGCUGUCCUCCAGGAAGCUUUGCCUUGCAGCGUUCUGGUAAGGGCAUCGUAAAUGCGGGGCUGCGUGAGGUUUUGUCCCGAAACCUUGCUAAGACAAUAGGGACUCAGGAAUCUGGCGGAUGUGUCCCUGCUUUGCCAGAGUCCGAAUCAUCAACAGGGAAUAAGCAUGUAGAAAGCAGUUGUGCUGCAUGUUUGGACCGGAGUUCGACUCUCCGCAGCUCCAC
rnacentral:tmRNA from 1 species